rnacentral:rRNA from 1 species
UCAUAGGCACGGCAGGAAACCCACGUUAGCUAUAGAUAAGUGCUGAAUGCAUAUAGGCGCGAAGCUUAGCUUAAGAUACUCUUAAAUAUACGUGGUAUAAUACUACG